rnacentral:rRNA from 1 species
UACAGAGGUCUCAAGCGUUGUUCGGAUUCAUUGGGCGUAAAGGGUGUGUAGGUGGCCAGGUAGGUCUGCUGUGAAAACUCGAGGCUUAACCUCGAGCUGUCGGCGGAAACCAUCUGGCUAGAGUCCGGAAGAGGAGAAUGGAAUUCCCGGUGUAGCGGUGAAAUGCGCAGAUAUCGGGAAGAACACCCGUGGCGAAGGCGGUUCUCUGGGACGGUACUGACGCUGAGACGCGAAAGCGUGGGGAGCGAACAGG